rnacentral:rRNA from 1 species
UACAGAGGGUGCGAGCGUUAAUCGGAAUUACUGGGCGUAAAGCGUGCGUAGACGGCUAUCUAAGUCGGGUGUGAAAGCCCCGGGCUCAACCUGGGAAUUGCAUUCGAGACUGAAUAGCUAGGGUACGGUAGAGGGAAGCGGAAUUUCCGGUGUAGCGGUGAAAUGCGUAGAUAUCGGAAGGAACAUCAGUGGCGAAGGCGGGUCUCUGGACAGUUCCUGACGCUGAGGCACGAAGGCCAGGGGAGCAAACGGG